rnacentral:hammerhead_ribozyme from 1 species
AUCCGACCGACGAGUCCCAAAUAGGACGAAACACGCGCCCUAGAU